GCGCACUUAGCUCAAAUGGAAAGAGCAUCACUCUUGAAAGUUGAGGUUGUGGGUUUGAUUCCCACAGUGCACA
rnacentral:tRNA from 1 species